GGAGCUCACGAAGACCAGUUUUCCGUACUUCACUGGCAGCCGGUCGUCAACCACCACAUCCACCCACUGCCCGUACUGCCAGAACUGGAGGGCUGGGCAACCCACCUGGAAAUGGAAGAUGCCAGCAUAGUCCUCCGGUGCAAAGCUUUGCCCCGUGGGUACCACCCUCUGCAUGAGCUGUGGGUAGAGAGUGAGAGACGCGGCUGCAGCCAGGAACCAGCAGUUGCCUGUUGGAGAGAGGCAGCAGCGUGGCAUCCUCCUGUCCUCGGGAGACUCGUGGGAAUUCGCAUCUUGCCUCUCCUCGGGGAGGGAGCCAGUGGCAGGAGGACCCCGGAGCCCUGCCUGCAGGGAGCAGUGACUGGCUGCGAAAGCAUCAGACCUACCUGUGGCCUCUUCCAUUCCAGCCCCUUAAUAUUCUCGGACCCAAGUCCGAGUUGCCAGUAUCCAAGUGAGCUGGGGACG